rnacentral:rRNA from 1 species
CCUACGGGAGGCAGCAGUGAGGAAUAUUGGUCAAUGGCCGUAAGGCUGAACCAGCCAAGUCGCGUGAAGGAAGAAGGAUCUAUGGUUUGUAAACUUCUUUUAUAGGGGAAUAAAGGUAUCCACGUGUGGAUAUUUGCAUGUACCCUAUGAAUAAGCAUCGGCUAACUCCGUGCCAGCAGCCGCGGUACUACGGAGGAUGCGAGCGUUAUCCGGAUUUAUUGGGUUUAAAGGGUGCGUAGGUUGUUUUUUAAGUCAGCGGUGAAAGUGUGUGGCUCAACCAUAACAUUGCCGUUGAAACUGGAAGACUUGAGUGUGUUUGAGGUAGGCGGAAUGCGUGGUGUAGCGGUGAAAUGCAUAGAUAUCACGCAGAACUCCGAUUGCGAAGGCAGCUUACUAAGCCAUAACUGACACUGAAGCACGAAAGCGCGGGGAUCGAACAGGAUUAGAUACCCCUGUAGUC